AUUAAGACUGAGACCUCCAAUAAUG
rnacentral:piRNA from 1 species